rnacentral:lncRNA from 1 species
GGAUAAUUCAAGGCCCUUUGCCCAAGAGAGCAGAAGUUAAGAAAGAUACCCCCAUGGCCCAACAUUAUAAGGACCCAUGUGCUCCCAGGGUGACAAUGAAUGAGUACAAACUGCCUAUUUCAAAUGCUGGCUGCUCAGGGAGUCAGAGGCUGGUGAAAGCAGCCUUUACAUUAUGAAAGCAGAAUAGCCUCUGGAUAUUUAUUCAUUACAAAAGCCGAAAAGCCUCAGAAUUCACAGUGUGGUUCCUCUGCUAUGCCUUUUCCUUUGCCUGGAGUUAAAGUCUGUCUUGGCAAAUGGAGUGCCAGUCAUUCACUAAUGAUGCCCCCCCACCCCAUCCCCUACACAAGGUACCUUGGCCCAUUAACCUCUUAGGUCUGUGCGUUUUUUGCUAUCUUGCUCAGGUAUUCAGGCCAAAGUUCUUUCUACCUUAACUCUCUUCUCCAAAAGGCAAGCCUCAUCCCCCCACCCCCACCCUCAAAAUUGGAAAACUGAACAAUUCUGGCCAUCCUGGAAGCUGGUUUUAAACAGGUAGGACAGUAGAUGAGUCAUUUCCUUAAGGGAGUGAGCAAUUGCAAUGCUUCAGUUAAAAAAAAAAAAAAAAAAAAAAAGCUACAGAGCCAACAGGAGGUGAGUCUGCAGCAGAAUCAUCCAGUGUGCUGCGGCCUUCUGGAGACCAAGUGCAACCUCGUCCUUCUCAGCAGCCCAGCCUGGCUGAGUGCUGAGCAGUGCUGUGGUCCUUCCUGUUUUCUGUUCUUCUGUGUUGUGUGUGUGUGUGUGUUGUGGGGGUAGCUAUCAAUGGGGUAAAACAAGUGAGUUUUGUUUCUGUGAAAGUACAGAUUUCAUCAUAUCCUUUCAACAAUGUCCCUUUGGGAUGUGCAUGAUUCCGCAAUGCUGUUUUCCUGCUUUCUGUGGGGUCUGAGGUGGGGGAAGGAAAGAGCCAAUGCUGCCCCCUUAUUACCCAAUUUAGUUCCUUUCUGAAGAAUAUUCAGAAAGCGAAUUAAGUUUGCCUAUUCAUUCCACUCAGAAUGCCUGAACCAGAUAAAAUAGGAAGCAGAGUCAUUAUAUUUGGGUGCUGUCUAUUAUCAUUUACCGACUCAGAGUCUAUCUAAGCCUUUCUGCUUUUUGCAGAUAAUUAAUUUUGUUCUAAAUGGAGGGAAGAAUGAUUGUAAUCAGUAUGUUUGUAUUUUCAGCUACAAAUAGAGCCUAUCAAAGUUGUGUAGAACAAAUAAACCCUAUAAAAUAUGCAGCCCCAGCCCUGCUUGAAGUUAAUGUGCUAUCUCUUUUUCAAAAGGAAACAUACGUAUACACACGCAGACACAUGCAUAGAUACGAUUUUUGAAGUUCUUCUUGCUUUUCUUUCACAGUUAGUAGGUAGGGUGCUCUUUUUAAACUCAAGCCUGCGCUGUAAAUUUUAUUUAUCAUCAAAUCUCAUGUGGCAGAGCUGAAGGGGACUUUGAUUUGGUGCAGAAAUCAAGUUGUCAACAUAUACACAUUUCUCAGUUGUAGAUGCGAAUUUCCCUUAUUAUUCUCCCAGGAAACUAGGAGCGGUCAGAUCCCACGAGCACAGUGUUUCUGAAAGAGGAUGCAGUGUGCAUUGUUCUCCCCAUAUCUCCAGCUAAGCCCUAGUCUGAGCCCAUCCCUUCUCACCCUCUUUUAGGAUUAUAUCGUACUCGCAACUCAUUCAUUCAGUCCCUGUCCUGUGUUUAAAGGGGACCCUAUUUCUGCUUCUGCUAGUAUACUAGUACAUUUGUUCUAUUGAAAAACAAUCUCAAGUGUUAACUACUUUAUUCUUCAAAAUAACCUGUUGUUGGAGUUAUGGCUCUAAUAAACCCAUAUACAAUACAUACCCAAAAAAGAAAAGAAAAGAAAAAGAAACAAAGAAAAACAAUCUACGUCUCUUGAGAAAUUCUUUUUUGCC